rnacentral:rRNA from 1 species
AUACGGAGGGGGCUAGCGUUGUUCGGAAUUACAGGGCGCAAAGCGCACGUAGGCGGAUUAAAAAGUUAGAGGUGAAAUCCCAGGGCUUAACCCUGGAACUGCCUUUAAAACUAGUAGUCUAGAGUUCGAGAGAGGUGAGUGGAAUUCCAAGUGUAGAGGUGAAAUUCGUAGAUAUUUGGAGGAACACCAGUGGCGAAGGCGGCUCACUGGCUCGAUACUGACGCUGAGGUGCGAAAGCGUGGGGAGCAAACAGGAUUAGAUACCCCGGUAGUCC